rnacentral:rRNA from 1 species
GAUGAACGCUAGCGACAGGCUUAACACAUGCAAGUCGAGGGGCAGCAUAAAAGUAGCAAUACUUUGGUGGCGACCGGCGCACGGGUGAGUAACGCGUAUGCAACCUACCUAUCAGAGGGGAAUAACCCGGCGAAAGUCGGACUAAUACCGCAUAAAACAGGGGCACCGCAUGGUGAUAUUUGUUAAAGAAAUUCGCUGAUAGAUAGGCAUGCGUUCCAUUAGGUAGUUGGUGAGGUAACGGCUCACCAAGCCGACGAUGGAUAGGGGAACUGAGAGGUUGGUCCCCCACACUGGUACUGAGACACGGACCAGACUCCUACGGGAGGCAGCAGUGAGGAAUAUUGGUCAAUGGGCGAGAGCCUGAACCAGCCAAGUCGCGUGAAGGAAGAAGGAUCUAUGGUUCGUAAACUUCUUUUGCAGGGGAAUAAAGUGCAGGACGUGUCCUGUUUUGUAUGUACCCUGAGAAUAAGGAUCGGCUAACUCCGUGCCAGCCGCCGCAGUAAGAC